ACAUGGGAAAGGAGGUGGUCCACGAAGUGAAGAAUCUUCGGACACAUGAGGUGGUUGCACGCUAGUCGUGCCAUCGAACGACGGACCUUGCGAGGAACCCGCGGCCGACCGGUGACCGUCAGGUCACCCACGACCAGCGAGAACCGAGCAACCACCGGAGCCCGCGGGUGUCGCGCCCUUGUCCAGCGCGACGGGUGGAGAGAUCCAUCAGCCCGCGGGCCUCUUCAU
rnacentral:sRNA from 1 species